AUCGGUACGGGUUGUGGGAGCAAGAGCCCGGAGAUGGAUUCUGAGACACGAAUCCAGGCCCUACGGGGCGCAGCAGGCGCGAAAACUUUACAAUGCGAGAAAUCGUGAUAAGGGAACCCCGAGUGCCCGUAAAUUCGGGCUGUCCAUCAGUGCAAAAAACUGGUGAAGAAAGAGCCGGGCAAGACCGGUGCCAGCCGCCGCGGUAAUACCGGCGGCUCGAGUGGUGGCCACUAUUACUGGGCUUAAAGCGUCCGUAGCUUGGUUGUUAAGUCUUCUGGGAAAUCCAUCGGCUUAACCGAUGGGAGUUCAGGAGAUACUGGCAACCUAGGGACCGGGAGAGGUGAGAGGUACUCCAGGGGUAGGAGUGAAAUCCUGUAAUCCUUGGGGGACCACCUGUGGCGAAGGCGUCUCACUAGAACGGCUCCGACAGUGAGGGACGAAAGCUGGGGGAGCAAACCGGAUUAGAUACCCGGGUAGUCCCAGCUGUAAACUAUGCGCGUUAGGUG
rnacentral:rRNA from 1 species